rnacentral:rRNA from 1 species
GAUGAACGCUGGCGGCGUGCCUAAUACAUGCAAGUCGAGCGAACAGACGAGGAGCUUGCUCCUCUGACGUUAGCGGCGGACGGGUGAGUAACACGUGGAUAACCUACCUAUAAGACUGGGAUAACUUCGGGAAACCGGAGCUAAUACCGGAUAAUAUAUUGAACCGCAUGGUUCAAUAGUGAAAGACGGUUUUGCUGUCACUUAUAGAUGGAUCCGCGCCGCAUUAGCUAGUUGGUAAGGUAACGGCUUACCAAGGCAACGAUGCGUAGCCGACCUGAGAGGGGGAUCGGCCAAACUGGAACCGAGAAACGGGCCAGACUCCUACGGGAGGCAGCAGUAGGGAAUCUUCCGGCAUGGGCGAAAGCCCGACGGAGCAACGCCGCGGGAGGGAAGAAGGUCUUCGGAUCGUAAAACUCUGUUAUUAGGGAAGAAAAAAUGUGUAAGUAACCAUGGACGGCUUGAAGGUACCUAAUCAGAAAGCCACGGCUAACUACGUG